UUCAUUUAAUAUGAAAAAGAGGGAGUAGUAUAUUUUGUGAGCAACUCAACUAAUUUCAUGGAUACUUACCGCCUGAUAUUAGUAUAUACUCCCUUCGUUUCAUAUUAUUUGAGAUAGUUUGACUCGGCAAGAAAUUUAAGAAAAAAAGAAGAAGAUUUUUGGAACUUGUUGUCUUAUGGGAUAAAUUGUUUGUGGGACUAAAACUUCUCAUUAAGGAUAAAAA
rnacentral:lncRNA from 1 species